rnacentral:lncRNA from 1 species
GAAGACAGAAUCAUAAGCAAUGGGUAGAAGUUAAUGACAAGAAGAUUUUGGUUUGCUAUAAUGGAAACUUUCUAACAGAGUGGAGGGGGGUAAUCUCAGCAACGUGGCAUUCUUCAAGCAGAUAAUUAUAGCAGGAGAUGCAAAUUAUAGACCAUGGAAGUGGCUGCUAAAUCAACUAAAAAUCCAUUUUGGAGUGGGGCAAGAAAUAUACUUUUUACUUUCUCCCUGUCAUGUGAUCAUCUCUUCAUUACAAGGAAUGGCCUGUGCAGCUGGGUCCAGAAGUAAUUGGACUCUGACCACUGCUUCCUUAACAAAUCAGAACAAAGGACAACGAAAACACACAGUAGUCAGAAUACUGAAGAUAAUUGAAAAGAAGAAAAGAGAAAAUUGCAAAAGGAAUUGGGUUUGGCAGGAAGGUUUCCUCUGCUCAAAUGUGAUGUAAAAAUAUAAUUUCCAUUUUCCACCAGCAUAUCAUAUGUUCCACUCAAAGUGACGUCCGAACUCUUGAUUCAGGAUGUCAUUUGGGAGUACCCACACAUUACUUUGCUAUUAACUAAGGUUGUUUGAUUUAUUAUUUUGUCACUGUCCUCUCCAAAAAUAUAAAAUGGAGGGUUUCAAAUACCAUCACAGCUACUAAAAAGGUGAACAAUUAUGAUUUUAGGUGUAAGCUCAUUAAACAAUUAUGUUAUAGGCGAGAAGGAAAGAGUUUUCUAGUUAAAAGUGAGGUGUAGUUUUGUGUGAUAGGAAAAGAAAGAUUACUGGAGAAUUAUAGCCAACUAAAUUCCAGAAAUUCAAUUCUAUAAGUAAUUUACUAAAUAUGUAUCAGGUACACAGUAAGGCAUCAGAGAUUCAGAGACAAAAUGAACCAAUUUCUGCCCUUGAAAAGCUUACAAUCCUAUUGAGAGGAAAUAAUUUAUGAUCUUAGUAUUAUGGGAUCUAUAGUUGAAAACGAUCUCUGAAAUUACCAGGGGUGGGGAACCGGCAGCCUUGAGGCCACACGUGGCCUUCUAGGUC